rnacentral:rRNA from 1 species
GUAGGUGGCAAGCGUUGUCCGGAAUUAUUGGGCGUAAAGCGCGCGCAGGCGGUUCUUUAAGUCUGAUGUGAAAGCCCACGGCUCAACCGUGGAGGGUCAUUGGAAACUGGAGAACUUGAGUACAGAAGAGGAAAGCGGAAUUCCACGUGUAGCGGUGAAAUGCGUAGAGAUGUGGAGGAACACCAGUGGCGAAGGCGGCUUUCUGGUCUGUAACUGACGCUGAGGCGCGAAAGCGUGGGGAGCAAACAGGAUUAGAUACCCUGGUAGUCCACGCCGUAAACGAUGAGUGCUAAGGUGUUAGGGGGUUUUCCGCCCCCCUUAGUGCUGCAGCUAACGCAUUAAGCACUCCGCCUGGGAGCACGGCCGCAAGGCUG